rnacentral:rRNA from 1 species
CCUACGUGAGGCAGCAGUGGGGAAUAUUGGGCAAUGGGCGCAAGCCUGACCCAGCAACGCCGCGUGAAGGAAGAAGGCUUUCGGGUUGUAAACUUCUUUUGACAGGGAAGAGUAGAAGACGGUACCUAUCGAAUAAGCCACGGCUAACUACGUGCCAGCAGCCGCGGUAAUACGUAGGUGGCAAGCGUUGUCCGGAUUUACUGGGUUUAAAGGGCGUGUAGCCGGGUUGACAAGUCAGCAGUGAAAUCCUGCGGCUUAACCGCAGCACUGCAUUUGAAACUGUUGAUCUUGAGUACUGGAGAGGCAGACGGAAUUCCUGGUGUAGCGGGGAAAUGCGUAGAUAUUAGGAGGAACACCAGUGGCGAAGGCGGUCUGCUGGACAGCAACUGACGGUGAGGCGUGAAAGCGUGGGGAGCAAACAGGAUUAGAUACCCGAGUAGUC